rnacentral:rRNA from 1 species
GCGUAUAGAACUUACCUUUUACAGAGGGAUAGCCUUUAGAAAUGAAGAUUAAUACCUCAUAGUACUGAAAUUUGGCAUCAAAAUUUAGUUAAAGAUUUAUCGGUAAAAGAUGGCUAUGCGUCCUAUUAGCUAGAUGGUAAGGUAACGGCUUACCAUGGCAACGAUAGGUAGGGGUCCUGAGAGGGAGAUCCCCCACACUGGUACUGAGACACGGACCAGACUCCUACGGGAGGCAGCAGUGAGGAAUAUUGGGCAAUGGAGGCAACUCUGACCCAGCCAUGCCGCGUGCAGGAAGACUGC